AACGAACGCUGGCGGCAGGCUUAACACAUGCAAGUCGAGCGCCCCGCAAGGGGAGCGGCAGACGGGUGAGUAACGCGUGGGAAUCUACCCAUCUCUACGGAAUAACGCAUGAAAACGUGUGCUAAUACCGUAUACGUCCUUCGGGAGAAAGAUUUAUCGGAGAUGGAUGAGCCCGCGUUGGAUUGGCUAGUUGGUGGGGUAAAGGCCUACCAAGGCGACGAUCCAUAGCUGGUCUGAGAGGAUGAUCAGCCACACUGGGACUGAGACACGGCCCAGACUCCUAUGGGAGGCUGCAGUGGGGAAUAUUGGACUAUGGGCGCAAGCCUGAUCCAGCCACUCCGCGUGAGUGUUGAAGGCCCUAGUGUUGUAAAGCUCUUUCACCGGUGAAGUUAUUGUCGGUAACCGGAGAAGAAGCCCCGGCUAUCUUCGUGCCAGCCGCCGCCGUAAGAC
rnacentral:rRNA from 1 species